UAACCCUGUGAGGUCAUAGAGUGGAUAAGCCGGCCUUCUAUCCAAUAGUCAUUCUCCAUUUCUCCCUUGAUGGCCGAGCCCUAUGUUGGUCACUUAUCACCCCACCACCACCACACGGACUAAAACUGGGCUAUGAACCUUCAGGGGCCCAAGCUCCCCACCAUGGCGGGUCCAGGUGCUUCCCUAGAGACUGGUUAUACACAGGCAUUUGAUACGAUUCUGGCCAAUGGGAUGUGAGCAUACGUCUGUUGAGGGGCUUUGGGGAAAGGUCUCCUUGUUCCUGAGAGACACAAAAGAGAAGAGAAGGUGUCCUUUCUUCCAGCAUUGCCCUCACUGGUUCCGGUGUCGGGAACUGCUGUAGCCAUCCUGAAAAUGUGAGGGAGCCUCUAACUGAGGAAGAGGCUGAUGGACACCUCAGGCCAGUGGAGCCAGAUCAGGACGUGUCACCUCUGUGACCACCUACUUCUGGACUCCAGAUUAGGUGGGGUAACACACUUCCAUACUACUGAAGCCACCGGAAGUUGAGUUUCCUGUCACAUGCAACCCGGAGCACCUCAACUGGUACACGUAGGGGCCGUAUUAUCCCCCUUUCACGCAGGAGAGAUCCGAGCGUAGGGAUGUUAAGUGUUACAUGAGGCAACUAGUAUGGUCUAACUCCACAAUCUGAGUUCUUAACUGCUCCUCUGUAACCUUCCCAGGCAUGCUCCCCAUUGGAGGAUAACACCAUAAUUUAGCGGAAAUCGGGCCCUGCAAAUGACAUCAACCAGGACUGGCAUUGAUCCCCUCUAUCUGACCUUAAAACUCCUUUCUGUAAGCACUGUAUAAGAGACACCCUCCCAAUACCUACUCCUUUCAGAAGCCCUGGGUUUCAAAACUGUUUUACUGAAUAAUAAGACAUUUCUCCCUGCCUUAAUAUAUAAACUGCCGGAGAACUUGGUUAUGUUUCCUCAACACCCAGCGAUGCAGUUUAUCAAAAGGCUUCCGCUCAGGAAACAGUCAGUGUGCUUUCAAUUCUCCUUGUCCAACCUACUCUUUCUUCCUCACUGAAACAAUCCUUUUUAUUCUCCAAUGUGCAGCACAAGUGACAGAAUUAAAGGGCGUUUCCUCCACUCUCCUUGACCAUGACCGCCAUCUUGGAUCUGCCUUCCACGCCAAUAAACUACCAUGAUGAACCUCCUAUAAGCGUAUUCAACACACCGGACUCCUUCAGUAAUCCUCCACUGAGUUCCUGCUAGCUUUUUCCUGUAUGUGUUUCUCUCCUUUAAGACAGGAACUGUAUUUCAUUUAUUUACGUAAUCCUAGGACCCAUCACAGUACCUGACACAUGGGAGCAAGCACAGCAUUUGCUGAUAAUUAUAGAUCUCAGGUACGGUAGGAGGGGUCAUGAACAGCGGUCUUUUCCCAGAGAUCCCCUAGGGAAAAUUCCAACAAAUAACAACUGCCAACCAAGACCCUCUUUCCCUAGAGUUUUCCAUCUUUUCUCACCUUCUAGCUAAGAAGCAGCAUCACGGUUAAUCCCCUGGUUUCUUGAUCUACAGAAAAGAAGAAAGGGAAAAAAAAAGCCCACAGACAGGUUAUGACACAGUUAAACUACGGGAAGCCAAAAGGAAGUGAAGAAUCACACGCUCUGAUCUCCAUCUUGCCUUCGUUCUUUGCGGUGUCCAGGGGCCCUAGCGAGAGGCACGCUAGGGGAGUCACUGAAGAGCCCAAUCCACCGAGGGCCCACAUUCAACAAAAAGGCAAAGACCUUUGGACUCGGACCGAAUUAUACCACAGACUUUCCAUGGUUCUCCCACUUGUAGAUGGCAGACUGUGGGACGUCUUGGCCUCCAUAACUGUGUGAGCCAAUUCCUACGAACCCUGAUACAGGUAGUGGGGUCAGAUGAAAUUAAUGUAACAACAUGGCGGCCACGUUCGCAGAAAGAGACAUCGCGGCGUGGCUACUAAAUAAUACAGGUGGGAGACAAAGUAGGGGAUGGUCAUUUCUUCCUGGAAGGCUAAGGCUCUCCCCCUACCUCCUCCUCUUCCACCAUGACCACCACCACCACCACUACAAGGACACCUGCGUAUCUCCACAGGGACCACUCUGGAUGUCUCUAUCCCCAGCACCUUGCUCAGUGUCUGGUACAUAGUAGGUGUUCAAUCAACUGAUGUUAGGUGAGGUGUUAAAGGUAUGAGGAGGUACCUAGGACACCUUAGCAGGAAUGAACACGAGACAAGUGUUCAGGGGACAGAAUGACCUCACCUUCUCUGAGCCUCCAUGUCCUCAGAAACAAUGAACUAAUAAACCCAUCAUGCAAGUGGCUUUUGUUAAGUUUCAAGAUUCCAGUAAUACGAGCUUCACUCCUGUGCAUGACCUGCUUCAAGCCAGUUACGAAGCCACUUCAGAGUCCAAGAAAGGGUGGAUUUUGCUGCUGAGCCAGAGCUUCCUGACGGCCAGGCUCAUCUGAGUACACAGUAGCCCCAUCCCCGUCCCCCCAGGAGAGCAACUCAGCGGUUCGCCAGGGGCAGCCUCAGGAAAUCAGGCUGCUAAUUUAGGGCGAUGGCCUGAAUCUUCAUUAUCUGCACCCAAAAACCAUGAGUCAGGUCUCCUUCUGUUCGCCAAAUGCUGCAACCCGUUCGCAUUUGGGGCUAUCGUCACCUGGAGAGUAUUCCAAGGGCUUCAGCUGGAGCAAAAGAGCCCCCCAGGGAGAACUGUGCCCUGCACCUCAGCAACACUGACCCUCCCUGCAGCCGUGCGAGGCCCGCCAGCAGCAGAGCAGCCGGUGCCACCGCGAAGCGCGGUCAGGGCCACACAGGGAACAGACAUAAGGCUGACUUUUAACUGCAGGGUCAUAGGAGUGUUGUAUCUAAUUGCCACGACUACAGAAGAAGAGGUUAAGUCCCUUGAAGACACUCAUCACUUCCAAGAGGGAGGCCCACUUGAUUUACAGAACCACCAGUAAACGUGCAGGAAAACAAGCACCUGAGAGACUUAAU